rnacentral:rRNA from 1 species
GAUGAACGCUGGCGGCGUGCUUAACACAUGCAAGUCGAACGGAAAGGGUCCUGCUUGCAGGGGUUCUCGAGUGGCGAACGGGGGAGUAACACGUGGGUGGUCUGCCCCGCACUUCGGGGGAAGCCUGGGAAACUGGGUCUAAUACCUGAUAGGACGAUGGUUUGGAUGCCAUUGUGGAAAGUUUUUCGGUGUGGGAUGAGCUCGCGGCCUAUCAGCUUGUUGGUGGGGUAAUGGCCUACCAAGGCGUCGACGGGUAGCCGGCCUGAGAGGGUGUACGGCCACAUUGGGACUGAGAUACGGCCCAGACUCCUACGGGAGGCAGCAGUGGGGAAUAUUGCACAAUGGGCGCAAGCCUGAUGCAGCGACGCCGCGUGGGGGAUGACGGCCUUCGGGUUGUAAACUCCUUUCGCUAGGGACGAAGCGUUUUGUGACGGUACCUGGAGAAGAAGCACCGGCUAACUACGUG